UACUGUAGUUCAGUCGGUAGAGCAUGAGAUUCUUAAUCUUAAGGCUGUGGGUUUGAGCCCCACGUUGGGCAAAA